rnacentral:rRNA from 1 species
CCUACUGGUGGCAGCAGUGAGGCAUAUUUGUCACUGUCCGGAAGGCUGAACCAGCCAUGCCGCGUGAAGGUCAGUGCCCUAUGGGCGUUAAACUUCUUUUGUGCGGGAGCACUACUGGUCACGUUUGUCCAGACGAGAGUAACGUGCGAAUAAGCAUCGGCUAACUCCGUGCCAGCAGCCGCGGUAUACGGGGGAUGCAAGCGUUAUCCGGAUUUAUUGGGUUUAAAGGGUGCGUAGGCUGUGAGGUAAGUCAGCGGUGAAAUGCCCCCGCUCAACGGGGUGAAGGUCCAUUGAUACUGCCUUGCUGGAAUGCGGAUGCCGUGGGAGGAAUGUGUGGUGUAGCGGUGAAAUGCAUAGAUAUCACACAGAACACCGAUUGCGAAGGCAUCUCACGAAUCCGCGAUUGACGCUGAUGCACGAAAGCGUGGGUAUCAAACAGGAUUAGAUACCCCGGUAGUC